rnacentral:rRNA from 1 species
CAGUCAGUGGUUGUACUGGUGUAAGAGUGUAGGCCGUGACAUAGGCAAAUCCGUGUCACAUUAAGGCUGAGACUUGAUGCAUACCCGUUGUGGGGAAUUCAGUGAUCCUAUGCUGCCGAGAAAAGCCUCUAGUGAGUUCAUACACGGCCCGUACCCCAAACCGACACAGGUGAUCAGGUAGAGAAUACCAAGGCGAUCGAGAGAACUGUGGUUAAGGAACUCGGCAAAAUGCCCCCGUAACUUCGGGAGAAGGGGGACCAUGCCCGGUGAACAUCUUCACGGUGGGAGCUGGGUGUGGUCGCAGAGACCAGAGAGAAGCGACUGUUUACUAAAAACACAGGUCCGUGCGAAGACGUAAGUCGAUGUAUACGGACUGACGCCUGCCCGGUGCUGGAAGGUUAAGAGGACCGGUUAGCCGUAAGGCGAAGCUGAGAAUUUAAGCCCCAGUAAACGGCGGUGGUAACUAUAACCAUCCUAAGGUAGCGAAAUUCCUUGUCGGGUAAGUUCCGACCUGCACGAAUGGCGUAACGACUUCUCUGCUGUCUCGACCACAGACUCGGCGAAAUUGCACUACGAGUAAAGAUGCUCGUUACGCGCGGCAGGACGAAAAGACCCCGGGACCUUUACUAUAGCUUGGUAUUGGCGUUCGAUUCGGUUUGUGUAGGAUAGGUGGGAGACUGUGAAGCAUGCACGCCAGUGUGUGUGGAGUCGUUGUUGAAAUACCACUCUGAUCGUAUUGGACGUCUAACCUCGGCCCAUGAUCUGGGUUAGGGACAGUGCCUGGUGGGUAGUUUAACUGGGGCGGUUGCCUCCUAAAGAGUAACGGAGGCGCCCAAAGGUUCCCUCAGCCUGGAUGGCAAUCAGGUGUUGAGUGCAAGUGCACAAGGGAGCUUGACUGUGAGACUGACACGUCGAGCAGGGACGAAAGUCGGGACUAGUGAUCCGGCACCGUAAGUGGAAGCGGUGUCGCUCAACGGAUAAAAGGUACCCCGGGGAUAACAGGCUGAUCUUCCCCAAGAGUCCAUAUCGACGGGAUGGUUCGGCACCUCGAUGUCGGCUCGUCGCAUCCUGGGGCUGGAGUAGGUCCCAAGGGUUGGGCUGUUCGCCCAUUAAAGCGGCACGCGAGCCGUUUAGAACGUCGUGAGACAGUUCGGUCUCUAUCCGCCGCGCGCGUAAGAAACUUGAGGAAGGCUGUCCCUAGUACGAGAGGACCGGGACGGACGAACCUCUGGUGUGCCAGUUGUUCCACCAGGAGCAUGGCUGGUUAGCUACGUUCGGAAGGGAUAACCGCUGAAAGCAUCUAAGCGGGAAGCCUGUUCCAAGAUGAGGUUUCUCACCACCUUGCGUGGUUAAGGCCCCCUACAGACCAUGGGGUUGAUAGGCCGGAACUGGAAGCGCAGCAAUGCGUGGAGGUGACCGGUACUAAUAGGCCGAGGGCUUAAAAAA